UACGUAGGGGGCAAGCGUUGUCCGGAAUCAUUGGGCGUAAAGAGCGUGUAGGCGGCCAGAAAAGUCCGCUGUGAAAACUCGAGGCUCAACUUCGAGCUGUCGGUGGAAACUUUCUGGCUAGAGUCCGGAAGAGGAGAAUGGAAUUCCUGGUGUAGCGGUGAAAUGCGCAGAUAUCAGGAGGAACACCGGUGGCGAAGGCGGAUCUCUGGGCCGAUACUGACGCUGAGGAGCGAAAGCGUGGGGAGCGAACAGG
rnacentral:rRNA from 1 species